rnacentral:rRNA from 1 species
AGGGAAUAUUGCGCAAUGGGCGAAAGCCUGACGCAGCGAUACCGCGUGAGUGAGGAAGGUCUUCGGAUUGUAAAGCUCUGUCGGGAUGGAAAAAUGGCGUAGGGUCUAAUAGGCCUUACGAUUGAUGGUACAUCCAAAGGAAGCACCGGCUAACUUCGUGCCAGCAGCCGCGGUAAUACGAAGGGUGCAAGCGUUGUUCGGAUUUAUUGGGCGUAAAGCGCGCGUAGGCGGAUAAUUAAGUCAGAUGUGAAAUCUCAGGGCUCAACUCUGAAACUGCGUCUGAAACUGGUUGUCUAGAAUACUGGAAGGGGAAGGGGAAUUUCGCAUGUAGGGGUAAGAUCCGUAGAUAUGCGAAGGAAUACCAGAGGCGAAGGCGCCUUCCUAGACAGUAAUUGACGCUGAGGUGCGAAAGCGUGGGGAGCAAAC